rnacentral:rRNA from 1 species
AUUGAACGCUGGCGGCAGGCUUAACACAUGCAAGUCGAGCGGAGAUGAGGUGCUUGCACCUUAUCUUAGCGGCGGACGGGUGAGUAAUGCUUAGGAAUCUGCCUAUUAGUGGGGGACAACAUUCCGAAAGGAAUGCUAAUACCGCAUAUGUCCUACGGGAGAAAGCAGGGGAUCUUCGGACCUUGCGCUAAUAGAUGAGCCUAAGUCGGAUUAGCUAGUUGGUGGGGUAAAGGCCUACCAAGGCGACGAUCUGUAGCGGGUCUGAGAGGAUGAUCCGCCACACUGGGACUGAGACACGGCCCAGACUCCUACGGGAGGCAGCAGUGGGGAAUAUUGGACAAUGGGGGAAACCCUGAUCCAGCCAUGCCGCGUGUGUGAAGAAGGCCUUAUGGUUGUAAAGCACUUUGAGCGAGGAGGAGGCUACUGAGACUAAUACUCUUGGAUAGUGGACGUUACUCGCAGAAUAAGCACCGGCUAACUCUGUGCCAGCAGCCGCCGUAA